rnacentral:rRNA from 1 species
GACGAACGCUGGCGGCGUGCCUAAUACAUGCAAGUCGAACGCACUCUCGUUUAGAUUGAAGGAGCUUGCUCCUGAUUGAUAAACAUUUGAGUGAGUGGCGGACGGGUGAGUAACACGUGGGUAACCUGCCCUAAAGUGGGGGAUAACAUUUGGAAACAGAUGCUAAUACCGCAUAAAACCUAAACACCGCAUGGUGUAGGGUUGAAAGAUGGUUUCGGCUAUCACUUUAGGAUGGACCCGCGGUGCAUUAGUUAGUUGGUGAGGUAAAGGCUCACCAAGACCGUGAUGCAUAGCCGACCUGAGAGGGUAAUCGGCCACACUGGGACUGAGACACGGCCCAGACUCCUACGGGAGGCAGCAGUAGGGAAUCUUCCACAAUGGACGAAAGUCUGAUGGAGCAACGCCGCGUGAGUGAAGAAGGUUUCGGAUCGUAAAACUCUGUUGUUGGAGAAGAAUGUAUCUGAUAGUAACUGAUC